rnacentral:lncRNA from 1 species
CUUCGAUCCUCUUCUGGAGUUUCUAGUAAUGGCUUCCCUGGACAUGGCUGGAACACUGCCUCUUCAGGGAUGCUUCUCCUAAGAUAGAAUGGCCGCAGAGACCUGAUCGUUUACCACACAUUUCAGAAGGUUUCAAGUUGUAAAAAGGUAACUUCUUUACAUUGAAACUCUGAAGACCUUUCAAAUAAGAGAAAAUAAAAUGCCAAGGUUCUCUUACUGUCUGAAUUGUGUAUUAGUCCAAGAUGCCUUCCGGACUCGAACCCAGACAUGAGAGCCGCAGGCCAGCCCCAACAAUUUGGUGAACCAAUGCAGAACCUGGGAAUGGCAGAGGACAUUUGGAAGAAGCACUGCUGGUUUGUAGCUCCACGGAAGAAGAAAAGAAUUAAAGAAAAUUCGUUCCUGGAAAAGGUCAGUCAACGUCCUUCAUCCUGACUGCAGUGGGUGUACAUCCCCGCCCCCAACACUGGGCAGGUGGCAGUUAAUUUUCAUCAAGAAGAAUUCUAAGUACAUAUUGUAGCUUUGAUCUGAAUUGAGAGUAAGGUGUGCUAAUGAGGGCCUGACAGUCAAUGACGGGCACCCAGAUCUCGGAAUCAUACCAAUCUAAGACAGGGGUACAUGCCAAGAUGCCGUGGCUGUUAAUACACCUCAGAGCCAUGUUUUGUGUAAAAUAAUACAAACUAGCUGCAUGUAACUUUCUAUGAUGGAUAAGGGUGAUUCAGGAAGAUCUAAGAUUUCCUAAGACAGAUGGGGCAGCCAGCCACCAUAACUCCUGGGCGGGACUAUGGAGCAUAAAUAAAUUUUAUGCCUCAGUCCAGCUUUUUAAAAACAUUAAUAAUAGGGAGGAGAUGUAGCCUCCCACAAGCCUGAAGCAGGCUGAGCCAGAAGUUGACCUUGCUGCCACUGAGGAGAUUAUCUAGGGUGGAGCCUUCCCCCCUGGAUCACUCUAUUGUUCUGCCACUGCUGCUGCUGCUACCUGCUGGGAGUCUGAUUAGCUGUUCCGGAGCCUACACGUGGUCACCUGCAGCUGGGCUCCAAGGAUGAUUUGGUGGGAAUGGGUUUUCCCCUCUCCUUUAUAAAGCAUGUCCGCCAUUAAAAUUUGAACCUUGAGCA